UGAGGAAUAUUGGUCAAUGGGGGCAACCCUGAACCAGCCAAGUCGCGUGAAGGAUGAAGGUCUUAUGGAUUGUAAACUUCUUUUAUACAGGAAUAAAUUGGGGGACGUGUCCCCUUUUGCAUGUACUGUAUGAAUAAGGAUCGGCUAACUCCGUGCCAGCAGCCGCGGUAACACGGAGGAUCCGAGCGUUAUCCGGAUUUAUUGGGUUUAAAGGGUGCGCAGGCGGGAUGUUAAGUCGGCGGUGAAAUUUUGUAGCUCAACUGUAAAAGUGCCUUCGAUACUGGCUUCCUUGAGUGUAGAUGAAGUAGGCGGAAUUUGUGGUGUAGCGGUGAAAUGCUUAGAUAUCACGAGGAACUCCGAUUGCGCAGGCAGCUUACUAAACUACAACUGACGCUCAUGCACGAAGGCGUGGGGAUCAAACA
rnacentral:rRNA from 1 species